CUUUCAGCAACGGAUCUCUUGGUUCCGGCAUCGAUGAAGAACGCAGCGAAAUGCGAUAAGUAAUGUGAAUUGCAGAAUCCAGUGAACCAUCGAACCUUUGAACGCACAUUGCGCCCCCUGGCAUUCCGGGGGGCAUGCCCGUCCGAGCGUC
rnacentral:rRNA from 1 species